UACGUAGGGUGCGAGCGUUGUCCGGAAUUAUUGGGCGUAAAGAGCUUGUAGGCGGUUUGUCGCGUCUGCUGUGAAAAUCCGGGACUCAACCCCGGACCUGCAGUGGGUACGGGCAGACUAGAGUGUGGUAGGGGAGACUGGAAUUCCUGGUGUAGCGGUGAAAUGCGCAGAUAUCAGGAGGAACACCGGUGGCGAAGGCGGGUCUCUGGGCCGAUACUGACGCUGAGGAGCGAAGGCAUGGGUAGCGAACAGG
rnacentral:rRNA from 1 species